CGGGUCUGUUUUCCACUGUAGAGAGGAAAAAGUAGGGACGGUGAAGCCUUGGGUUACAUGACAAAUGCAAAAAACUUUUCAAACAGGUAUACUUUUCUUCGUGCUUUUUGUAUAUGUAUCUAUGAGAAUUAUGCAGUAUCAUAUGGCAAUUUGAUUAUAUUCCCAGGUGUGCCUGCAAUGGAACAUUGGAUUUCAGCAAUAUUAUUGGUUCUGCAUACAAGGAUACUAUCAAAUGGAGUUGAAAUUGUAGCUGCGUUAAGUUUGGUGACAUUUGCAAAGGAUUGGUUGAAAGAACAGAGUCACAAUACAGGAAAAUGUAAGCUGUUACCGUUAGCUUGAAUAAAUGUACACUGCUUAGUUCAUAUUUGAUUCCAGUGCUUUAGCUUUCUUGGAUAGUAGAGUUAUUAUAGAAUAAAUUUGUGUCAGUAUAGACACAGAAACAUACAUAUAGUUGUACAAGGAUAGUAGAGUUAUUAUAGAAUAAAUUUCUGUCAGCAUUUACCUUGACUUGGUUUAUGUUUGAUAUGUAAUCUGAUUAAUGGUUUACGGACUAACAACUAUAAAAUCUACUUUGAUUUGCAAGGUACCCCCAAUUUCCAUACUCACGGUGUUUUUAUUCUCCAUUUAGUGCAGCUCCUUCCUAGAUAAUAUUGCUUGGUUUGUUGUCGAGUCCUAUAUUUGCUUAAGUGACGAAUAGACCAAGUUCAUCUACUAUAGAUAUUUUUUUUCCCAAAAUGAAAAAGAUUGACUUUGAGCAUGGAAUUAAUAAUCUAUCUGCUAGAAUUUAUCAAGAAUUAUGUUUGUGUUGGAUGUGCAG
rnacentral:lncRNA from 1 species